rnacentral:rRNA from 1 species
UACGUAGGUGGCAAGCGUUGUCCGGAUUUACUGGGCGUAAAGGGCGUGCAGGCGGUUUGUUAAGUGCAGGGUGAAAGCUCCCGGCUCAACUGGGAGAGGUCCUUGCAUACUGGCAAACUCGAGGGAGGCAGAGGAAAGUGGAAUUCCCGGUGUAGUGGUGAUAUGCGUAGAUAUCGGGAGGAACACCUGUGGCGAAGGCGGCUUUCUGGGCCUUACCUGACGCUGAGGUGCGAAAGCGUGGGUAGCAAACAGG